rnacentral:rRNA from 1 species
UACGUAGGGGGCAAGCGUUGUUCGGAUUUACUGGGCGUAAAGGGCGCGUAGGCGGCCACCGCAAGUCGACUGUGAAAUCUCCGGGCUUAACCCGGAAAGGUCAGCCGAUACUGCGGGGCUAGAGUGCAGAAGGGGCAACUGGAAUUCUCGGUGUAGCGGUGAAAUGCGUAGAUAUCGAGAGGAACACCUGCGGCGAAGGCGGGUUGCUGGGCUGACACUGACGCUGAAGCGCGAAAGCUAGGGGAGCGAACGGG